rnacentral:hammerhead_ribozyme from 1 species
AUCCAGCUGAUGAGUCCCAAAUAGGAAGAAACGCGCUUCCUGGAU